UAACCUCGGGAAAUCGUGGCUAAUACCGGAUAUGAACUUCUACCGCAUGGUGGUUGUUGGAAAGUUUUUCGGUGAGGGAUGGACUCGCGGCCUAUCAGUUUGUUGGUGAGGUAAUGGCUCACCAAGACGAUGACGGGUAGCCGGCCUGAGAGGGCGACCGGCCACACUGGGACUGAGACACGGCCCAGACUCCUACGGGAGGCAGCAGUGGGGAAUAUUGCACAAUGGGCGGAAGCCUGAUGCAGCGACGCAGCGUGAGGGAUGACUGCCUUCGGGUUGUAAACCUCUUUCAGUAGGGAAGAAGCGAAAGUGACGGUACCUGCAGAAGAAGCGCCGGCUAACUACGUGCCAGCAGCCGCGGUAAUACGUAGGGCGCAAGCGUUAUCCGGAAUUAUUGGGCGUAAAGAGCUUGUAGGUGGCUUGUCGCGUCUGCCGUGAAAACCCGAGGCUCAACCUCGGGCGUGCGGUGGGUACGGGCAGGCUAGAGUGUGGUAGGGGAGACUGGAACUCCUGGUGUAGCGGUGAAAUGCGCAGAUAUCAGGAAGAACACCGAUGGCGAAGGCAGGUCUCUGGGCCAUUACUGACACUGAGAAGCGAAAGCAUGGGUAGCGAACAGGAUUAGAUACCCUGGUAGUCCAUGCCGUAAACGUUGGGCACUAGAUGUGGGGGACAUUCCACGUUUUCCGCGUCGUAGCUAACGCAUUAAGUGCCCCGCCUGGGG
rnacentral:rRNA from 1 species